rfam:Toxocara canis C1603182, whole genome shotgun sequence.
GGGGCAGUAGCUCAGUAGUAGAGCUCGCGCCUUGUACGUGAGAAGACCUGCGUUCGAAUCCCGGCUGCUUGC